rnacentral:rRNA from 1 species
GGGCCCGCACAAGCGGUGGAACAUGUGGUUUAAUUCGACGCAACGCGAAGAACCUUACCUGGGUUUGACAUCCCCGGCCGACACCAGAGAUGGUGUUUUCUCUUCGGAGACCGGGUGACAGGUGCUGCAUGGCUGUCGUCAGCUCGUGUCGUGAGAUGUUGGGUUAAGUCCCGCAACGAGCGCAACCCUUGCCCUCAGUUGCCAGCAGUUCGGCUGGGCACUCUGGGGGGACUGCCGGUGACAAGCCGGAGGAAGGUGGGGAUGACGUCAAGUCCUCAUGGCCUUUAUAUCCAGGGCUACACACGUGUUACAAUGGGGGUCACAAAGGGCAGCGAAACGGUGACGUGGAGCGAAUCCCAAAAAAGCCCUCUCAGUUCGGAUCGCAGUCUGCAACUCGACUCCUUGAAGUUGGAGUCGCUAGUAAUCGC